rnacentral:rRNA from 1 species
AUGGCUCGGUCAAGAUGGAGUCUUGCGAGCAGCGAGCUUUCGGUCAUCCCUGUGCGGCGUGGAGAGCGGCGGUGCUUUCCUGGUGAUGCCGGCCUGGGAUUUCUCCGUGGAGAGGCGGGUCUGAUUGUCGCAAGGUCGUUCCUUGGAGUGGGUGACGGCCGUUGCGGGCAGUCCUGGACCUGGCCGGAGGUGCUGGUUGGCUGUGGACCCUCGUGCAAGCUGGGAGUGGAUGUGUGGCCGCGGUUUCCCUGCCGGGUGGUCGGUCGUUGGUCCUCGGCUAUGCAGCUACUUCGGCAAGUGCUGUGGUGGCGGCGGUGUGAGGCUUCUUGGCAGUGCUACCAAUCCCAUGGAGGCGUGGCGAUGGGCGAAGCGCGGAUGAAAAUUUUGCACGGCUUCUGCCGGGCCGGCGGUGAUGGCAUCUGUGGAUGUCAUUCCCCUCCUUGGAGGCAUCGUCGAGCGUGUUCGCCUCAUCCCUCGCGCUCUCGGUGUUGGUGGAUGUCUCCGGGUGAAAGCCUAGAUUCGAUGUUCUGA